rnacentral:rRNA from 1 species
UACGGAGGAGGCAAGCGUUAUCCGGAAUUAUUGGGCGUAAAGAGCUCGUAGGCGGUCCGUCGCGUCGGAUGUGAAAUUCCAGGGCUCAACCCUGGACCUGCAUUCGAUACGGGCGGACUAGAGUUCGGUAGGGGAGACUGGAAUUCCUGGUGUAGCGGUGAAAUGCGCAGAUAUCAGGAGGAACACCGGUGGCGAAGGCGGGUCUCUGGGCCGAUACUGACGCUGAGGAGCGAAAGCGUGGGGAGCGAACAGG